UACGUAGGGUGCAAGCGUUGUCCGGAAUUAUUGGGCGUAAAGAGCUCGUAGGCGGUUUGUUGCGUCGGCUGUGAAAUCCCCGAGGCUCAACCUCGGGUCUGCAGUCGAUACGGGCAGGCUGGAGUUCGGUAGGGGAGACUGGAAUUCCUGGUGUAGCGGUGAAAUGCGCAGAUAUCAGGAGGAACACCGGUGGCGAAGGCAGCCCCCUGGGAUAACACUGACGCUCAUGCACGAAAGCGUGGGGAGCAAACAGG
rnacentral:rRNA from 1 species